UACGGAGGGUGCAAGCGUUAAUCGGAAUUACUGGGCGUAAAGCGUGCGCAGGCGGUUUGUUAAGUCUGCUGUGAAAUCCCCGAGCUCAACUUGGGAAUUGCAGUGGAUACUGGCAAGCUGGAGUACGGUAGAGGAAGGUGGAAUUCCCGGUGUAGCAGUGAAAUGCGUAGAGAUCGGGAGGAACACCAGAGGCGAAGGCGGCUCGCUGGACAGUCACUGACACUCAACUACGAAAGCGUGGGGAGCAAACAGG
rnacentral:rRNA from 1 species